rnacentral:rRNA from 1 species
CCUACGGGAGGCAGCAGUGGGGAAUAUUGCACAAUGGGCGAAAGCCUGAUGCAGCGACGCCGCGUGAGGGAUGACGGCCUUCGGGUUGUAAACCUCUUUCAGCAGGGAAGAAGCGAAAGUGACGGUACCUGCAGAAGAAGCGCCGGCUAACUACGUGCCAGCAGCCGCGGUAAUACGUAGGGCGCAAGCGUUGUCCGGAAUUAUUGGGCGUAAAGAGCUCGUAGGCGGCUUGUCACGUCGGGUGUGAAAGCCCGGGGCUUAACCCCGGGUCUGCAUUCGAUACGGGCUAGCUAGAGUGUGGUAGGGGAGAUCGGAAUUCCUGGUGUAGCGGUGAAAUGCGCAGAUAUCAGGAGGAACACCGGUGGCGAAGGCGGAUCUCUGGGCCAUUACUGACGCUGAGGAGCGAAAGCGUGGGGAGCGAACAGGAUUAGAUACCCUGGUAGUCCACGCCGUAAACGGUGGGAACUAGGUGUUGGCGACAUUCCACGUCGUCGGUGCCGCAGCUAACGCAUUAAGUUCCCCGCCUGGGGAGUACGGCCGCAAGGCUAAAACUUAAAGGAAUUGACGG